ensembl:lncRNA
GGGAGGAGAAUGAUACUGCAGAGUGGUUGAGGAAAGAGAGAGAGGCAGGAGGAGAAUGAUACUGCAGAGUGGUUGAGGAAAGAGAGAGACAGGAGGAGAAUGAUACUGCAGUGGUUGAGGAAAGAGAGAGAGGCAGGAGGAGAAUGAUACUGCAGAGUGGUUGAGGAAAGAGAGAGACAGGAGGAGAAUGAUACUGCAGAGUGGUUGAGGAAAGAGAGAGGCAGGAGGAGAAUGAUACUGCAGAGUGGUUGAGGAAAGAGAGAGACAGGAGGAGAAUGAUACUGCAGUGUGGUUGAGGAAAGAGAGAGAGGCAGGAGGAGAAUGAUACUGCAGAGUGGUUGAGGAAAGAGAGAGG